rnacentral:misc_RNA from 1 species
AAGAGUUUUUUAACUCCCAAAACCAUGUGAACUUACCUAUGUUGCCUCGGCGGGGAACCUACCCGGGAGCUGCUCUUGAGUGGCCUAUCCGGUACCAUUCGGUAGCUACGCUGUAGUUGUAGGCCUACCCGCCGGCGGACCAUUAAAACUCUUAUUUAUGUUGCCACUUCUGAAUUAUUAUCAUAAUAAGUUA